rnacentral:SRP_RNA from 1 species
GCUAGGCAUGGUGGCGCAUGCCUGUAAUCCCAGCUACUGGGGAGGCUGAGGCAGGAGAAUCACUUGAACCCGGGAGGCGGAGGUUGCAGUGAGCCAAGAUCAUGCCACUGCACUCCAGCCUGGGUGACAGAGUAAGACUCUGUCUCAA